UGGGGAAAUUUGAGAGAAGAGAGAUAGAGCGGAGCCGGAUCCCUCAUACAUAUAUGCAUUAUCUAAGUUACUAUAUAGGAAUGAAGCUCUAUGAGUUUGUUGCUCUGUGAUUUAAUAUAAAUUUCAUAUUUAAAAGGUUACAGCUUACAGAAUUGGAUUGAAAAUCUAUACUGAAAAUAAUUUGAUAUAUCUUAUACAAGAAUGAAAGAUACAAUGGUGCAUGUAUGACACUAGGCCUCUUCUUGAAAAAAGAAAGAACAAAAGGAACUUAGAGUCGACGCCCACAUAACGAAUGAUUUUCUACUUCGAAGGUUGAUUUCAUCAUCUCUGUGAGUUCUUACUUUUGUGUUUGAUUGUUUGCCUUGAAAUUUUCUUCAUUUCGUUGAUGAUGCGUCUACAUUGGAUAUUCUUGUUUUGGGUUUCUUUUUAUCGCAACCUGCUGCAUUCUUCUAAUUCAAUUUCUCAUUAAAUUAUUCUCUCUUUCAAUUGUUUUGUUAAUCUUAUAUAUGUGCUUUGAGAUCUGAUAGUUACAGCCACAAACUGUAGUCAUUUAUGUGCUUAUGCGAGCUCGCAGUGGAUUCUUCAUAGUAAAAGUGAAAUCCAUUUCCUUGUUUAAAUCAUCAUAUCCCUCCACAGGCUUCCACUUGAAACGUCAAAUCAAGUUAGCCACAAAGUACUCUAAAUGGAACAUAGCAAAAUUAUAGCUCAGACAUAUUCUCCUUCCUAUGCCGAAUGCCAUCAUCUUGAUCUCUCUACUUCUUGUUAAAUCAAACGUAUCACCAUCUCUAUGAUCAUCCAUCAAGAACCUCUCCAGUUUAAAUUCCAUUGGAUCCUCCCAUACGUUUGGGUCCAAUCCCAUUUCUCUUGCCAUGAAUAGAUUAUCGCGUUCUUUGGUAACGCGUAGCCAUUCAAUUCCAUUUCAUCUGUCACUCCAUGUGGUAGCAAAAAAUGAGAUGGUGGAUAACUCUUUAAACUUUCUAAAAUCACCACUUUUAAAUAUGACAGUUUCCUUAUAUCCUCUUCUAUCUUCAACUUAUCUUUUCCUCCUCUGAUUUACGUGCUAUUCCAAUUUUGCAUGCUAUUUGUUUAUAUAGUUUUUCUUCAAUGGCAAAGUACUUAACCAAGUAAGCCAUAGUCCACUGCACCACGGUGAUAGUUGUGUCACUAGCUGCCCCGAGGAUCUCAACACAGAGACUAACAAUCUCUUCAUUAGUAGUUUCCUUUUCUCCUUUGGCAAUUCCAAAUUCAGUAAUGUAUCAAUGUAAGAAAUUAUUUCCAAAAAGUUGAAUCGCCAAAUUUAAUUUCGUAGCUUUUAUGUGUAAUGGUGUCUGUACUUUAGCUUCCGUAGCUUCAAAGGUGAACUUUCUUUCUUUAUACGAUCACCGCUAUGAAACCUCUGGGUCUGUAUUAGAAUUUUUUCCAAGUACAUGCAUGUCCUAAAGCAGUUAAAAAUAAAUGAACUACAGGAUAAAGACGUCCUUAACUGCAUGUUCAACAAAAUUUAAGUUGAUCAAUUAUUGUUUUCUGAUUGUUUGUUUUACCUUUGUUGCUUCAUGUAAUUUCAUCUGGUGGAGUGAGUUUAGAAUUUGGAGAUUAAAUCAGCAGGGUGGUACCGACUGUUGCUCUCCUGGUCACCCUUUAUAUUGAUUGCUGCUCAAUCAAUUUCUCGUGUGUUUUUGUGGUCAGUUUGGUUGAGUCUUGAUUAAUCCGUUGGUUCCAAUUUAUUUGCCUGAUUUUGACUUGGUACGGAAUUUAAGAAAGUAAACGAACUUUUGAAAUUGAAAAUCUUUAAAUAAAGAUAUAUGAACAUGAAUUGAUGUUGGACUUUUAUACAAACCUUCAACUUCAGUCCUUGUCAAGUCUGACUCCAAUCAUGGUCGCAACACUCUUUAUGGUCCACAGAACCCACAGUGAAUGAGCUUGUCUCAAAUGUUAUAACAGCCUGCCUUACUGUCUUUGUGGAUUGCUGCCGUUCUGUCAAGCCUACUCCACCUUCUGUACAUCUUUUAGAAUCGAAGUUGCAGUUUCUCCUUUUUUUUCCUUAGUCUUAUCUAUUUUGAUAUCACCAAAGAAUAUUCAAUUGCUGUUUUCAAGGAAACAAUGUCUAAUGAAUACGCAAUGAGGUUCCAUUUGGUUGCAAGUGCAAUGCUCUUGUCAUUGUUAUUGCUUUUUAAAUUCCUGUCAAAAGACCUUGUUAAUGUUGUAUUGACGUGCUACUUCUUCAUACUCGGCAUUGCUGCACUUUCGUAUGUUCUCUCUGUAUGGAUCAUUCUGAAUGCUUAAUAUUUUCUAUUUCAAGUUACUGAAUAGUAGUUUUUCUGUGCAUAUACUUUAUGCAUCUUUUUCUUUAUGGUUUUACAGGGUGACGUUGUUACCUGCUAUUAAACGUUUCUCUUAUGAAAGUUCCAAUUGAUUCUUUUAGAAUCCUCGAGCUUCCAUUUUUCUUUUUGUUUUUUUGUUCGUCUCUUUUUCAGCUUUGGAGAUUGAGUUCACAAGGUCUAAGGUUAUUGCUGCAAUUCCCAGAAUCAUUUUCUGUGUGAUAUGCUAGACAGAAGCAUUGGCUAGCUAACAACGUUUUGGCCCUUGCCUUUUGCAUUCAGCCAACAUACUUGAAGACACUUUCUGGUAAUAUAUAAGUUCUGAGGAAGUUAACGCGUUAUGAUAUAACGACUUUUACUCUUGUUAAUGCAUCCAUUACGUGAAGAGCCCAUCGCUGUUGGAUUUAAUCUAGAUGAAGCUUUCUCAGGGGAAAAAUCAGGGGAAGGGAAACUCCGGAACUAUUGAAAAGCUCAAAGCCUCGACCUUUCCUGCCACAGUUAUGAGAAUGGGGAGCUGAGAGGUAAUAUUGAUGUUUUAGUACCGACUGUAAUUUGUAAUCUACAAAUUGUGACGAGAACUGUGUUAGAAAAGCUCAAAGCCCCGAACUUUCCUACCACAGUUAUGAGAAUCAGGAGCUGGGAGGUAAUAUUGAUGUUUUAGAUCUACAAAUUGCAAUUGAAUUAGGAAGUUGAUUUUAUUUUUUUACAAUUUUUGUAAAUUCAGCUAAAUUGGGACUCAACAUUUUCUUGACCUUAGUUUUUCCAAACUGAGGUUAUAGCAAGGCUAAUAUGUUAUAACAUACAAACUGACGGUUAUAAAUUAUAGCUACGUUACUAUUAUUGGGUCGGCGCUAGUGCGGGCUUUUACAUCUAAUAUAUGGAAUGAAAAGUUUUCAUCGUCCUCA